ensembl:lncRNA
CUGUGGUUGAGCCUCCCAAACACUAGGUGGCAGUAUUUUAGCUCAGUUGCCACCACUGAUUCCAUUAGUAGUUAUACACACACGAAGAAGAACCCAGGAAACGUUUGUGUCCAGAGAGCAUGGCAGCAGCUCACUGCAUGGUUGGUGAUGAAAAUGUUUGAAUAAAAUAUAAACAAGAAAAUGUGCAUUUUAGCUCCAGUUUUGCAGGACUUUCGUCCCUAAAGGUGUUUCUGUGAAUGAACCUCAAGUAGAAUCGAGGUUCAGUGUAAACAACAACAGUCAACACCAGUUUUUGAAAAGGAAAUAAAGUCAGAGCAACAAAAUCACGUAAAGAACCGACCGUCAGCUUCAUCACUUCUGUUUUACCAGAAAUCCACCUGAGACCCGAGGUUCCUCCACUGAGCAGCACUUCCGCUCAAGCCAGAGACCAGAAAUGCAACGAUGAAGCUGCCAAAUGAGAAUUCCUUCGUUCAUC